AGUGAACGCUGGCGGUAGGCCUAACACAUGCAAGUCGAACGGCAGCACAGUAAGAGCUUGCUCUUACGGGUGGCGAGUGGCGGACGGGUGAGGAAUACAUCGGAAUCUACUUUUUCGUGGGGGAUAACGUAGGGAAACUUACGCUAAUACCGCAUACGACCUACGGGUGAAAGCAGGGGAUCUUCGGACCUUGCGCGAUUGAAUGAGCCGAUGUCGGAUUAGCUAGUUGGCGGGGUAAAGGCCCACCAAGGCGACGAUCCGUAGCUGGUCUGAGAGGAUGAUCAGCAACACUGGAACUGAGAAACGGUCCAGACUCCUACGGGAGGCAGCAGUGGGGAAUACUGGACAAUGGGCGCAAGCCUGAUCCAGCCAUACCGCGUGGGUGAAGAAGGCCUUCGGGUUGUAAAGCCCUUUUGUUGGGAAAGAAAAGCAGCAGGUUAAUACCCCGCUGUUCUGACGGUACCCAAAGAAUAAGCACCGGCUAACUUCGU
rnacentral:rRNA from 1 species